AACGAACGCUGGCGGCAGGCUUAACACAUGCAAGUCGAGCGCCCAGCAAUGGGAGCGGCGGACGGGUGAGUAACGCGUGGGAAUUUUUCCUGGAGUACGGAACAACCGAGGGAAACUUCGGCUAAUACCGUAUGAUAUCGAGAGAUCAAAGAUUUAUCGCUCUGGGGUGAGCCCGCGUCAGAUUAGGUAGUUGGUGGGGUAACGGCCUACCAAGCCUGCGAUCUGUAGCUGGUCUGAGAGGACGAUCAGCCACACUGGGACUGAGACACGGCCCAGACUCCUACGGGAGGCAGCAGUGGGGAAUCUUGCGCAAUGGGCGAAAGCCUGACGCAGCCAUGCCGCGUGAGUGAAGAAGGUCUUAGGAUUGUAAAGCUCUUUCGCUCGUGACGAUGAUGACGGUAACGAGAGAAGAAGCCCCGGCUAACUUCGUGCCAGCCGCCGCGGUAAAAC
rnacentral:rRNA from 1 species